UAUCUUUUCAGUCACUGAUAUCUGAAGACGACUUGCUGUGCUUGCAUAGUUACCUCACCUGACUAGUAACUAGAUGGGAUGGCUAAUCCAUUUUGGUUUACGAAAUUUGGGGCUCCAUUUAUUUAUCACUUUAUAUUAUCACUUGGCUGAUUGGGUUAAGCACAAUCUUGUGCAUAGUGAAUCCGGUUCUGGAAAUACUAAUAUUGUAAUCCAUGUGACUGCCACACUAAACUGUACUUGGCUUUCCAUUAAUUCCAUCAGUUGGCACAAGGACGGAUAUAUAUUAUAACUGAUCUGAGCAUCUGGACAGCUCAAUCUCAGACAAACUAGAGGGAUUACAAGCCUACUUAAGGAAUGAAAAAU